UGGGGAAUAUUGCACAAUGGGCGCAAGCCUGAUGCAGCCAUGCCGCGUGAGUGAUGAAGGCCUUAGGGUCGUAAAGCUCUUUCGCCAGAGAUGAUAAUGACAGUAUCUGGUAAAGAAACCCCGGCUAACUCCGUGCCAGCAGCCGCGGUAAUACGGAGGGGGUUAGCGUUGUUCGGAAUUACUGGGCGUAAAGCGUACGUAGGCGGAUUAGUCAGUCAGAGGUGAAAUCCCAGGGCUCAACCCUGGAACUGCCUUUGAUACUGGAUAACUAGAGUAUGGUAGAGGUGAGUGGAAUUUCAGGUGUAGCGGUGAAAUGCGUAGAGAUCUGAAGGAACAUCAGUGGCGAAGGCGACUCACUGGGCCAUUACUGACGCUGAGGUGCGAAAGCGUGGGUAGCAAACA
rnacentral:rRNA from 1 species